AUUGAACGCUGGCGGCAGGCCUAACACAUGCAAGUCGAGCGGAUGAAGGGAGCUUGCUCCUGGAUUCAGCGGCGGACGGGUGAGUAAUGCCUAGGAAUCUGCCUGGUAGUGGGGGAUAACGUCCGGAAACGGGCGCUAAUACCGCAUACGUCCUGAGGGAGAAAGUGGGGGAUCUUCGGACCUCACGCUAUCAGAUGAGCCUAGGUCGGAUUAGCUAGUUGGUGGGGUAAAGGCCUACCAAGGCGACGAUCCGUAACUGGUCUGAGAGGAUGAUCAGUCACACUGGAACUGAGACACGGUCCAGAGUCCUACGGGAGGCAGCAGUGGGGAAUAUUGGACAAUGGGCGAAAGCCUGAUCCAGCCAUGCCGCGUGUGUGAAGAAGGUCUUCGGAUUGUAAAGCACUUUAAGUUGGGAGGAAGGGCAGUAAGUUAAUACCUUGCUGUUUUGACGUUACCAACAGAAUAAGCACCGGCUAACUUCGU
rnacentral:rRNA from 1 species